AUCAAAAACAUGUCCUUUUGUUUAAUAAAUAUAAGGUCUAACCUGCCCAAUGAUUAAUUUUGAAUGGCCGCGGUAUAUUAACUGUGCUAAGGUAGCAUAAUCAUUUGUCUUUUAAUUUAAGGCUGGAAUGAAUGGUUGGACGAAAUACAAUCUUUCUUUAACUUAAUUUUAGAAUUUAAUUUUUUAGUUAAAAAGCUAAAAUUCAUUUGAGGGACGAGAAGACCCUAUAGAUCUUUAUAUUUUUAUUUAUUAUGUAUUUUGGUGAUAUAAAUUAUUUUUGAUAAAUAAAGGUAUUUGGUUGGGGCGACUGUAGAAUAUAUAUAACUUCUAUUAUUACUUUUCAUUAAUUAAUGUUCUUUUGAUCCAUUAUUAUUGAUUAUAAGAUUAAGUUACCUUAGGGAUAACAGCGUAAUUUUUUCAGAGAGUUCUUAUCGAUGAAGGAGUUUGCGACCUCGAUGUUGGAUUAAAAUAAGUUGUAGGUGUAGGAGUUUACAAACUAGGUCUGUUCGACCUUUAAUUUUUUACAUGAUCUGAGUUCA
rnacentral:rRNA from 1 species